rnacentral:rRNA from 1 species
UUAUCGCUUUUGGAGGGGGGUGCGUCCUAUCAGGUAGUUGGUUGAGGUAACGGCUCACCAAGCCUAUGACGGGUAGCCGGUCUGAGAGGAUGUCCGGCCGCAAUGGAACUGAGACACGGUCCAUACUCCUACGGGAGGCAGCAGUGGGGAAUAUUGGACAAUGGGCGCAAGCCUGAUCCAGCAAUCCCGCGUGGAGGAUGACGCAUUACGGUGUGUAAACUCCUUUUCUGGUAGAAGACGACUGACGGUAUACCAGGAAUAAGAGACGGCUAACUACGUGCCAGCAGCCGCGGUAAUACGCAGGUCUCGAGCGUUAUCCGGAGUUACUGGGCGUAAAGGGUCCGUAGCCGGAUCUAUAAGUCUGUUUUCAAAUUCUUUCGCUCAACGAAAGGCAGGGAAUAGAUACUGUAGAUCUAGAGGUUUUUAGAGGUUAGUGGAAUUCCCAGUGGAGCGGUGAAAUGCGUUGAUAUUGGGAGGAACGCCGAAAGCGAAAGCAGCUAACUAUAAUUCACCUGACGGUCAGGGACGAAAGCUUGGGGAGCAAACGGGAUUAGAUACCCCGGGUAGUCCAAGCCGUAAAUUAUGUUUGCUAGGUGUCUUUGCGUAUGCAGGGGUGCCGUAACCCUAGCGGAUUAAGCAAACCCGCCCUGGGUAGUAUAUUCGCAAGGA